rnacentral:rRNA from 1 species
GGAUGAACGCUGGCGGCGUGCCUAAUACAUGCAAGUCGAGCGAACAGACGAGGAGCUUGCUCCUCUGACGUUAGCGGCGGACGGGUGAGUAACACGUGGAUAACCUACCUAUAAGACUGGGAUAACUUCGGGAAACCGGAGCUAAUACCGGAUAAUAUAUUGAACCGCAUGGUUCAAUAGUGAAAGACGGUUUUGCUGUCACUUAUAGAUGGAUCCGCGCCGCAUUAGCUAGUUGGUAAGGUAACGGCUUACCAAGGCAACGAUGCGUAGCCGACCUGAGAGGGUGAUCGGCCACACUGGAACUGAGACACGGUCCAGACUCCUACGGGAGGCAGCAGUAGGGAAUCUUCCGCAAUGGGCGAAAGCCUGACGGAGCAACGCCGCGUGAGUGAUGAAGGUCUUCGGAUCGUAAAACUCUGUUAUUAGGGAAGAACAAAUGUGUAAGUAACUAUGCACGUCUUGACGGUACCUAAUCAGAAAGCCACGGCUAACUACGUGCCAGCAGCCGCGGUAAUACGUAGGUGGCAAGCGUUAUCCGGAAUUAUUGGGCGUAAAGCGCGCGUAGGCGGUUUUUUAAGUCUGAUGUGAAAGCCCACGGCUCAACCGUGGAGGGUCAUUGGAAACUGGAAAACUUGAGUGCAGAAGAGGAAAGUGGAAUUCCAUGUGUAGCGGUGAAAUGCGCAGAGAUAUGGAGGAACACCAGUGGCGAAGGCGACUUUCUGGUCUGUAACUGACGCUGAUGUGCGAAAGCGUGGGGAUCAAACAGGAUUAGAUACCCUGGUAGUCCACGCCGUAAACGAUGAGUGCUAAGUGUUAGGGGGUUUCCGCCCCUUAGUGCUGCAGCUAACGCAUUAAGCACUCCGCCUGGGGAGUACGACCGCAAGGUUGAAACUCAAAGGAAUUGACGGGGACCCGCACAAGCGGUGGAGCAUGUG